AGCUCUUUUGGUUUUUGAGACAGGGUCUUGCUAAGUUGCUAAGGUUCUCUCUAAGUUCCAGAGUCUAUCCUUGAAUUUAUGAUCCUCCUGCCUCAGCCUCCCAAGCUGCUAGGAUUACAGCCUCCAGGUGUGUCCUUCCAAAACAAGGCCCAUGGGCUAAACGGGACAACUAUUAAGUGCACGUACAUUUGUCUCUGUUUCUUCACUUCUGGAAGGAAAACCCAGGUGCUGCACAUCAGGCCUGUGUGAGGCAGGAGGGAUACAAUGGUAACAAGCAUGUUUCCUGCUCUGAAGACACCCAUCCCAUUCAUUCUGAUAAAGGAGAAAGACAAAAAAGAAAACCCAUCUGGACAUAAACCCCAACUAAACAUACAAGUGGGCAGGAAAGGCCCCCCAUGAAGGAGAGACCCAAAGAAGAGGCCCAAAGGACAGACCCAAAGGAGACCCAAAGGAGAGCAAGUGCUGGCUGCAAGUGUGUGGGGGAGAGCAUCCUUCUCAAAGGAAGAGCAAGUGCUGGCUGCAAGUGUGUGGGGGAGAGCAUCUGGAUAGAGGGCAAAACCCAGCAUGAGCUCAGCAGAUUAAAGGAACUGAGAGGGGACUCCUUUGCCUUGCCCGAUGAGCAAUAAGCAUUUUCUUCUUCUUUCUUUCUUUUCAAAAUUAUUGGUUCUUUUCAGUUAUCCAUGACAGUAGAAUCCAUUUUGACAUAAUUAUACAAGCAUGGAGUAUAUAUUGUUCUAAUUCAGUUCCCAGUACCUCGCCUUCCCCUUCUCUCCCCCACCCUCAGCUUCCUUCCCUCUACUGACCUUUCUGCCAUAUACCCAUAAUUAUUUUUUAAAAAUUAAUUUUUUUUGUGGAUGUGCAUGAUGGCGAGGUUCACUGUGGUAUAUUCAUGUAUAUAGGAAAGUUAUGUCAGAUUUAUUCUGCUGUCUUUCCUUUUCCUAGUCCCACUCCCUUCCCAUUAUUUCCCUUUGUCUACUUUACUGAACUUCUAUUCUUUUUUUUUUGUCCCCGACCCCGCUUAUUGUGGGUUAGCGUUCCAUGUUAGAGAAAACAUUUGACCUUUGGAUUUGGGGAAUUGGCUAAUUUCACUUAGCAAUAAGCAUUUUCUUUCUUUUUUAAGAAUAUUGUUUUAGUUCUAGAUAGAAACAAUAUCUUUAUUUUUAUUGGUUUUUAUGUGGUGCUGAGGAUCGAACCCAGGACCUCACACAUGUGAGGCAAACGCUCUUCCACUGAGCCACAACUCCAGCCCAGGAAUAAGCAUUUUCUAAUGGACAAUGUAAAGAGCCCAGGAAUGGAGGAAGUCAAGUAUCUUUACAGGCCUGUUCUGGAAAGAGCUUUAUUUUUAAGGAGACAGACUGGCAGUGCUUGUGUGUGCGUACAUGUAUGUGUGAAUUUAUGCCAAGACAAUCGCUAGGCAUUUGUUUCUUUCUAUAAUUAAAGAAUGUGACACGAUUACAACUUAGCUGGAGUUACUCCUUUCUUUGAAAAUAGACUGGCAGCAAGCUUUGGGACUGAGAAUAGGUAGACUUUGUGGCUGAUGACUGAAGCCCUGAGAAAAACAAGGGUACAGUUAUGUGUGACGUAUGUAGUGGCACCCACUCCUCCACAGAAAAUCUGAAUUAAGCUUCUCCAGAGACCCUCAUCAUAACUGUUCUUAGACAGUCAGCAAGAAUUUCUGAAAAAGUUUUCAGGCGGGAGGUGUGUUGCAGAAGCAGGAUGUGAUAAGAAAGGCUAACCUGAGGCCUCCAUAGAGGCUUGAAUUCCAGGCCUGGGCUCAAAGCCCAGAACAGUGAAAAAAGCUGCUUUUGUGUAGACUUCUGUAGAUGGUGAGCCUCUGAGCCCCUCCUCCUACACACUGGGUAAAAAGUUCUGAAACUUUCUAAAGUCGGGGUUCAGGGGAUUGAUCCACUGUGGUGAAAGCCUUUUCCCCCUCUGGACCUGGCUGCAGCCAAUAAACCUGCUUCCUGUUAUUUCCUCGGUGUCCUGCCUCAUCUGUUCCACAACAAGUAGACUGAUUGAGGGUCAUUGCCAUUUUCAAAAAAGACUGAGUAGACAUGCAUGUCAAUGCCGCGUGGGGUACUGACAGGAGUGAGUUCUGUAGGUGUUGUUCUUGGGGUUAGACAUUCAGCAAGCAUUUAUCUAGGUGAUAUCCACAGUGGUGCCCAGUGUGGCCUCACCACUGGCUCACUGUGGGACCUUAAACUAGUUAUUCACAGUCUCUGCAC